AAGUCGUAACAAGGUCUCCGUUGGUGAACCAGCGGAGGGAUCAUUAGCGAGUUUAUAACUCCAACCCCUGUGAAUCUACCUUUGUCGUUGCUUCGGCGGGCGGCCCUUGGGAAGGGCCAUAGGCCUGCUGUAUGCAGGCGCCCGCCGGAAGCCCACUAUAAAUUCUUUUGAGUUGCCUCUGAGUGGAAAACACAAUCAGUUAAAACUUUCAACAACGGAUCUCUUGGUUCUGGCAUCGAUGAAGAACGCAGCGAAAUGCGAUAAGUAAUGUGAAUUGCAGAAUUCAGUGAAUCAUCGAAUCUUUGAACGCACAUUGCGCCCGCCAGUACCCUGGCGGGCAUGCCUGUUCGAGCGUCAUUUCAACCCUCUAGCCCUGUGCUAGGUGUUGGGGCUUCCCGCCGCCGUGCGGGACCCCGAAAAGUAGUGGCGGGCUCGCCGUGUCUCUGAGCGUAGUAUUGUUCUCGCUACGGAAGGCGCGGUGCGUUCCGGCCGUAAAAUACCUACAUUUUACCAUGGUUGACCUCGGAUCAGGUAGGAAUACCCGCUGAACUUAA
rnacentral:rRNA from 1 species